UACGAGGGGGCGAGCGUUGUUCGGAAUUAUUGGGCGUAAAGGGUGCGUAGGCGGUUCCGCAAGUCCUGUGUGAAAUCUUCGGGCUCAACUCGAAGUCUGCACGGGAAACUGCGGGGCUUGAGUAUGGGAGAGGUGAGUGGAAUUCCUGGUGUAGCGGUGAAAUGCGUAGAUAUCAGGAGGAACACCUGUGGCGAAAGCGGCUCACUGGACCAUAACUGACGCUGAUGCACGAAAGCUAGGGGAGCAAACAGG
rnacentral:rRNA from 1 species